GUUUGGGUUUUGGUAGAGAUGCUGCUGAGACAGAGACAUAGAUGAGGAGAAUGGGUUUUGAAGAAGAAGAAGAAGGAAGAGGAGGUUGGGGUUCUGAAGAAGAGGAACGAAGAUGAUGAUGAUGAUCUGUUUUAGGGUUUGAAGUGUUUGAUGGUGAUUUAGGAUUUGGGUUAAUUUGGGGGAAUUGGAGUUAAUUUGGGGGAAAUUGAUUUUAUUAAUUAGAUUAAGGUUAAAUAUGUUAAUAGGUUUAAUUUUGUUUAAUAGGGUUAAUUAAUCUGACAUGUAAUUUUUUUAUUUUUUUUUAAAUCCAUGUCAGUUCAUUUGGCCCAGUCAGCUUGCCAAAUCAUCACUCACCAGAGCUCCGAGCUCCGGUGAGGAUAUGCUCCAAAUAAUUUUUAAACAUGAGGACUAUUUACAAUACUUUUUCCGGGGAGAGACCUGGAUCAGACGGCGACACAAAGACGGGACUAAUAUGAUGCUUAACCCUAAAAUUAUUAAUAUGAAAAACUUAUAAUAUAAUUUAAAUAAUUUUAAGAGUAAAUAUAUUAUAGUGUGAUAUUCUAAUAUUUUAGAUGGGGAGAAGAUGAUGGAUGAAUGUUGGAGAUGGGUUUUGGUUAAUUGAUUUUGGUAUUUUGGGGUUCGAUCUCAUUUCUGACCCAAACUUUGCGAUUCGAUUCACUUCAAAUUGGGUUUGGACAAAAGUAAUUAAUUAAUCCUGGUAAGAGCAAUCGCAAUUCAUGCGUUUGGUUUCCAAUCACAAGACCCUGGAUCGGAGGUCAUUUUUCUCAACUUAGUUUAGCAAUAUCUUAGUUUUUAAUUUAACAUGGCAAUUAAAUUAAAUCUCAGGACUGUGGAUUUAUUGCAUCUUGGUUUUCAUUUCAUGUGAUUCAAAGCAUAUCCGGUGAGACUGGACCAAUUCUUUGCUUUACUACAACUUCAUUUAAUAUAAAUUUGUCAGCAGCUGAUUCACUAAGUUGCGGGUUAGUUUAGUAUGUUUGCUCCUGAUAUGAAUUUCCCCUUUCUUAUAUUUAUGAAUUUGCAUGAUUGUAUAUAUAUAUAUCAAGGUGCUCAGUGUUUUAUAUAAAGUCGCAAAGUCCCAGAGUAGUAGCAACUGAAGGCUAUUAUUUGAUGAACUAUGAUAGAAUGCAUGACUGGCUUGUCCAAUAUUUGUCCAAGUACUAAAAACCUGCUGUGUUCCUAUGCCAUUCACAACUUAAACAUAUAUUUCUGAUCAACUUCAAUAAUUAUCCAAAGGUAAUUGGUCUGCAGAUUCAUUUAGUUAUUGAGCCAUAUGAGGCAAGUUUUUAUGAGGAAUCAGGUUUCAUCAUGUUUAAUGUUCAUCUUCUCAUUUCUAUCAUAAAUUUUUCCAAUGGAAAAGUUGUGAUUGAUUCAUACAACAGGGUGAAGUGUACCUUUCUUAUAUGGAUGGGAGUGCUGCUUAAUGUUGAUGGCGAACUUUGGAAGAAACAAAGGAAGACUGCAAGUUUAUGUGCUGACCCCUUCUGGUUCCUUUGACUACACUAUGAAGGCUGCAAUAUUAGAAUCCAACUGAGUGUUCACUGUAAGCCCAUAUUAUGCCCAAAAGCUUGUUUUUUGAGAGGACAGAAGUGUGGAAUUGGACAAUAUAAUCUGUGCAAAAGGCAUCACUGUGUCAUUGUUAUCAUAUUCAAUUCAGCUAUCUUUGCUAUGUUUUUUGUGAUACUGUUCAUCCUUUAACAGAAAAGAGUAUUUGUAUGCAGUUUCAUAAAACCCUUGUCUUAUCUCAUAUUCUGGUCCCUGGAGACUUUAAUCGCCCUCAUUCUGAUCCAGAAUUUGUGCUUCAUUCAUUCAUUCAUCCCUUUUCAUUUUUAUUUGCUGAUCUUAUUAGGUAGCUGUUCAGAGAUGCAAGCAACAAAGGAAAGUUUACAGCUUUAUUUAUUUCUUGAAUUUGAAGCGUCAGAAUUAUAUGAUGCGUAUUUAAACUAUAUAUUGUGUCUCCUUGAAUGCCGUUUUGUGCGGGGCCUUUUAGGUAAAAGGUUUGAAAGACUUGUUCUUUCGGUUCGUGGUUAGGUCAGCAUUUGUUUGCUACUAUGACUAAAGGAAUUCAAGCAGCCACCUUUGUUAUACAGGUCUAUAAUUUAUAGGAGUAGCGUGUCAAAAGUUGGUGGGUGCUACCACAGAACUGCGUUACAGACUAUAGAAGAACUUGAAGCACUGCUAUCACCCAGAUCGUAGAUCAAGAUCAGUCCAGUGUAUCUAAGAAGGGGAAGGAAUCUUUUUGGCAUAGAAUGAUAGAAGUUCUAAGCCAUGUUCUGGUAGAACUAAUGUCACUACCAGCAAUUGCUACAUUUUUUGGUUUCCUCUUUGGUGUGCUUUCAUGGUUAAGGAACGUGAUAAUAGUAGACAAUGCUCCACUGAGAGUGAUCCAAGACACUCUUCAAUUACUUGGUGUGGUUAUGACCGGCUGGCGGCUGCCAUUGUCAACCAGUUCAUUAAUGAAGAGAAAUACACAAUAUUUGAUUGAAUGCAUGGAUGACUUGUCGCUGGAACAACAAAAGUUCCAAUUCUACUAUCGGAGCUUGUCUCAUCUGCAGGCUCAGCUGUAAGCAUGGCUUCAAAGAGAAGGUAUGAUUUUGUUUAAUAAAUGCAUUCUGUUUUUUUUCUGUUGUUGUAAAAUUAGAUUCCAUAGAUUGGCAGUAGUCUCCGGUACUAAACAAAGAAGAAUUAGAGUGAAGUGAACAUAGCAUCUCUUUUUAAAUGCAGGUUUUCUUAUUCUACCAGGUAAAAAUGUCUUGCUUGAUUAGUUGGUUUUGGAGUCUUAACAGGAAUUGUUAAAUCUUAUUUUCAAUUUUAGGAUUCUCGUUCAAAAAAGUUUGAAACCUUAGCUACUUACCAAUAUGUAAGAAUUAAAACAUAUAGCAAAAUUUAAAAUUCGGACAAAAAUGCUUACCAUAAUAUUUGCCUUGAUGAGCACCAGUAAUUUGUGUUUUUCCUAUAAGAUGUGAGAAGUGAGAUGUUUCUGUAUGUGUUGGACGGUUUUCAGUGCUAAGUUAUCACUUUAGUAAAAGAGUUAAAAUGAUACCAAUUAGAAAGGCUUGAUAUAAGAAUAAUUUGUCUAAUAUGGAUCUUGAUAGGAGCACAGCUCAUGGACUUAUAUAUCUGGAAAAAAAAAACAUUGGAAUAGUGGGGGUUAAAAUCGCCACUAAGUAUCCAAGAAAAGAAAAUAUUAGAUCUGCAGGGGUGUAAACUGCCGCUACAUAUCAAUGGUCAUUUAAAAAAUGGUCUAUUGGCAAUUGGAACUGUUGCUUGUGUCUGGAAGUAUCUGGCGGCGGUAGCUCAAACCAAUGUUAGUAUGCUUAGCGGCGCCAAAUUUGGUGUCAGUUGGUCAACCGACACGAGUUCGUCUUGUGGUGGUUUAACCUCGUAACCCUUCAAAUUCUUGUAGUGCCUGGAAAAGAAUGAUAUAAAUCAACAGUAGUAUAUUUGAAAAUACAUAUUUAGGAAAGUUAGGUUGGUUUUAAAUAUCAUGCGUUUGAGGAUUUAAAUUUACCGGUACCGGCGAUGUAGAAGGCCUUUGAGCAUUCCUUCAUCCUCGCCAUUGUCAUCUUCUGAAAAAAUGACAUCAACUUCUACAUUGUGAGCUUCACGGUAAUCAUUAUCGUCAGGCCAAAUUAACUAUGGGCCCCGUGUAAACGAUCUGUAGUUUAGGAACAACCUCCUCUCUAUAUAUAAAUUUUUGGGUAUCAGUGAGAGUCUUUUGGUCACUCAUCAGAUAAGUUGUCAUUGAUAUUGAUGAAUUUUCAGCCUCAUCAAUAUCAACAUACAACUGCACCAUUGUCACCAAAGACUCACUAAAAAUAUCAACAUACAACUGCACCAUUGUCACCAAAGACUCACUAAAAAUGUCCAGCAUGCCUAUUGGGUCUUCGUUAUCACAUAUCUGAAAAACUGUAUAAAAAUUUGAAUUAGAAGAAACCAAAUAUUUGCCUGUAAUAUUUGAAAUAACCUGAUUACUUCCAAGAUUCAACUUCUCGUGAAUUUUUCUUUCCAUACGCUUGAAAGACAUGUCGUGUUUCAGAUACAUGAUUGUUUCUGAUACAUGAUUGUUUAUGAUCUUCAAACAUAACACAUUUACUACCAUUGAAAGCUCUACCAUUGUAGUAGACAAAAGUAAUUACUCGACUCGUUGUAAUGGUUUUUCGAGUAGCCAAAACAUUUAUGAAGUAUGAGGUUUCUGAAGGAAGUGUUGCAUCUGCUCAUUGUGAAGUCGAAGUGAGUAUUUAGAUCUUAAUUCGCAGAGUUCGCAAAAAUAUUAGUGAAUUUAUGACACUUAUCAAAGUUGCACACAUCGAGAUUCCCUUCACAAUUCGCCAAAAAAAAAAUAGGGGUUUGCUUUUUGCACACCCGAAUCUUCUAAUAACAUACUCGAUUUAUUUUUAAAUUCCAAAAUUACCCUUAAAUAGAAAAGUACAAUUUUAUUUGCACACCCGUCCCUGUAGUUAAUACUCCAACAGUACAAUUUCUAUUUUGUAAUUCGCCAAGAAUCUCCUUCUUCGUCUUCUACAUCAUCUUCUUCAACGACCAAACGUUCAUCAUCGACCCUUCUGCAAUCAUCGACCCUCUCUCCACUGUUACCUCAAUUCCAUGACUGAACCCACCUCUCCCACCUCCUUGCUUGCAGACAUGGAACCACCCUGAAGAGUUGAUUGGCUACAUCCUUUCUCUGAUGCCUACGAAGGAUGUUGUUAGGACAUCGGUUCUUUGCAAGAAUUGGCAGAACAAAUGGACUCUAAUCAGAGGUCUCUCUUUUGCAGACACAAGUCCCUCGAGCUCCAGGAAUAUAACCAACCCUUCUUUCCAGCACUUUGUUUAUAAGGUGCUUCUUAACCUGAAAAGUCCAAUUGAAAGUUUCUCUCUUACUUUGGGGCAGAUGCACCCCUCAGUCCAUGUUUCUGAGUGAAUUACUCACGCUUUAAGGUUGAAUGUGAAGAGGGUUCGUCUGAAUUGUAGGUCACAACACGUGCUUCCCCCUCAAUUCAUGGUCAGAUACAAGUUUGUUCAUGAAUUGGUGUUCAAUGGGGUGUUGGCGUUCAAUCUGGUCUCUUUUCUUGUUAGAGUUCCCAUGGUCACCCAUUUACCCUUUUUGAACAAACUGAUCUUGUUUGGAGUUAGGGUCAUCUCUGAUGCAAAAGAAGAAGAGGUUGUUUUUGAUUUCCCAGUUUUGCAAAUGUUUGAGAGUCGAAAAUGCACUUGGGAUUCAAGAAUCAAGACAGCCAACUUCAAGGUUCCGCAACUUAAAUGUGCCUCCAUUACUGAUAUAAGGGGGGACUCAUCUCUAACUAUCAAGUUUUGUGCAUUGGGUCUGACUGAGUUCAGCUAUAAAGGUAAUCUCCAUACGUGUGUACCUUUGAUUUAUCAAAGGCACACCUCUUACAUGCAAAGCUUCGUAUUCAACACUAUCAUGAUCAGGAUCAGCUUUUGAGCAAGUUUAUGACCACAUUUGAAAAUGUCCAAUCUCUCAAAUGGAUCAUAGAAAAGGAGGUACCAGCGGUUGCAAUUGUUCUGCCUUGCUUUUAUAACUUGACAACUCUUGAGCUAGGAAGGGUAAAUGGUCAAGUUCUUCUGGCAUCAUUGCAAAACAUGCCAAGUUUAAACAGCCUGACUUUUUUGGAAAUAUCACAAUUUGAGGCAGAACUUUUCACUUCUACAGUGCCUCCCUGCUUUAAGACUACUCUCAAAGUGAUCAAUAACCUGCAAGAAAUGAAUUGAAGCAGGCUGGGUAGGCAGAUUAGGAUUCAUUUCUGCUUAGUAAUUUCCAAGUUCAAAAAUUUCAUUUUUAAUUGAAAGUUUCUCUCUUACUUUGGGGCAGAUGCACCCCUCAGUCCAUGUUUCUGAGUGGAUUACUCACGCUUUAAGGUUGAAUGUGAAGAGGGUUCGUCUGAAUUGUAGGUCACAACACGUGCUUCCCUCUCAAUUCAUGGUCAGAUACAAGUUUGUUCAUGAAUUGGUGUUCAAUGGGGUGUUGGCGUUCAAUCUGGUCUCUUUUCUUGUUAGAGUUCCCAUGGUCACUGUUCCGUACUAGGGAGAUCUGACGUCGGAAACUGACAGAAAGUAAACCCUAGCAGAGUACUAAAAAUAUCACAAAAGGAAUAUUCUCAUUAAAUGUUCGAAAGGUGCUUUUUACAAGGGGUUGACCUCUCCUUUUAUAGAGGGAAUGGUCAUAACGUGGACUUUCUCUGUACUUGGGCCUGACAAUCGGGGCCCAAGCCUCUAUACAUAUAAGACAAAACUAAAGGAAUUCUUCCAGCUGGCGCGUGGACCCAUCCAAAAGAAGGGCGGGCUUCGACGUUGUUCCACAAACCCCGCCAUGGCUGCUUUCGUUCAUCUAAAUGCUCGAUUUGGGCGGGAAUAAGGGAUACUUAUGUCCCGCCCCGUCCAGUCACCCAUUUACCCUUUUUGAACAAACUGAUCUUGUUUGGAGUUAGGGUCAUCUCUGAUGCAAAAGAAGAAGAGGUUGUUUUUGAUUUCCUAGUUUUGCAAAUGUUUGAGAGUCGAAAAUGCACUUGGAUUCAAGAAUCAAGACAGCCAACUUCAAGGUUCCGCAACUUAAAUGUGCCUCCAUUACUGAUAUAAGGGGGGACUCAUCUCUAACUAUCAAGUUUUGUGCAUUAGGUCUGACUGAGUUCAGCUAUAAAGUAAUCUCCAUACGUGUCCCUUUGAUUUAUCAAAGGCACACCUCUUACAUGCAAAACUUCGUAUUCAGCACUAUCAUGAUCAGGAUCAGCUUUUGAGCAAGUUUAUGACCACAUUUGAAAAUGUGCAAUCUCUCAAAUGGAUCAUAGAAAUGGAGGUACCAGCGGUUGCAAUUGUUCUGCCUUGCUUUUAUAACUUGACAACUCUUGAGCUAGGAAGGGUAAAUGGUCAAGUUCUUCUGGCAUCAUUGCAAAACAUGCCAAGUUUAAACAGCCUGACUUUUUUGGUAAAUUAAUGAUUAGUUAUAGUUUGUUUGGAA